rnacentral:rRNA from 1 species
GACGAACGCUGGCGGCGUGCUUAACACAUGCAAGUCGAACGGACAGGCCCUGCUUUUGUGGGGUGCUCGAGUGGCGAACGGGUGAGUAACACGUGAGUAACCUGCCCUUGACUUUGGGAUAACUUCAGGAAACUGGGGCUAAUACCGGGUAGGAGCUCCUGCUGCAUGGUGGGGGUUGGAAAGUUUCGGCGGUUGGGGAUGGACUCGCGGCUUAUCAGCUUGUUGGUGGGGUAGUGGCUUACCAAGGCCUUGACGGGUAGCCGGCCUGAGAGGGUGACCGGCCACAUUGGGACUGAGAUGCGGCCCAGACUCCUACGGGAGGCGGCGGUGGGGAAGAGUGCACAAGGGGCGGAAGCCUGAUGCAGUAACGCCGCGUGCGGGAUGACGGCCUUCGGGUUGUAUACCGCUUUCGCCUGUGACGAAGAGAGAGUGACGGUAAUGGGUAAAGAAGCACCGGCUAACUACGUG